AACUUGAUAAUUCUUUGCAAAGGUGAAACAUAGGAAAUACUGAUAAGAAAGUUAAUAAAAAACACUGAAUAGAUAUAUGAUUGUCAGAUUGCAAUAAACGAAACAACCUGAAACGAUAUGAUAUUGUGUUUUAUUAAAUGGCGAUAUUGAGCUUUCAAAAAGCUGGACAAUGUAUAUGUUUACCUUAUUGUAUGGGAUCAGUAUUCAGUUUUAAAAGUAAAAAUAAAGACAAGUGUUAAGGAGACGUCACGACUGAGAUAGUUUAGCAUUAUUACAAUACACAGUCGGUAUUGAAAUUGUGUUUCCAAAACAUGUGCUAAUUAGAUAAUUCCUCAAUAUCUAUGUGAAAAUAAGGGAUGUGUUUUGUAUGAUUGCAACACUGUAAGUUGCUCUAAUUACUGACAAAUGACUGAAACAAUAGGAAUUCGUACGAGAGAUGGAUAGACAAAACAACAGUGAGCCGAUAUUGCUUCAUCAAGUCUGACAAUGGGCUGUACAUGUGAAAAGGUGUGGAGAAGAAAACAUUCAAAAGUUGGACGUAAAUCUGAAAGUAGUGGUAUUCCGCCAAGUAUGUCUGAUGCGCAGAAAGCAGUGAUAAGAAAUAACUGGCAAACUUUAAAAUGUCACGUUGCGAAUAUUGGAGUUAUAACAUAUGUCAGGGUUGUAUAUUAUUACCUAUUUAUUCAAUUUGAAAGAUAUGGUUGCGUAGUUGUCAUAUCUUGAAAUAUUAACCAUUACAGUAUGAUUAAGAAAUAUAUAUUAGCAACGAAACGAAAUAUAUGCUUAAAACAAACAAUAUUAUUGUAGCAGAUGUAUUGAGUAUUUAUUCCUACAGCUGAUUUUCAUACUGAGUUUGUGUACUCGGUCACUCAAUUUCUUUCUCGCUCCUUUGAUUUUAUCCCUGUUUCGCAUUCAUUUAUGAGUAUUUUUAAUUUGCCUUAUUAUAAAGUGUUACUUUUCCAAAAAACUCCGGCUUUAGGUUUGCAGCAAAUCUCAACAAUAAGACAAUUUAUAAAUAAACACAUUUACAUAAAUCUUAUUACCUGCAUAUUUCCCAUAGCACGCAUAUAAAUUUUAUCUUUUAAAUCGUUUUUGAAAUUAGGCGGCCGUAUUCAGUUUCUUACAUCUGGAUCAGCAUUGAAUCUUCACCGAGUCAGCAGAUAUGCAAUACUCAUACUUAAAGAAAGAAUAGUGACGGACACAAUCUCAUUCAAAUAUCUGAGUGAAAUAAUUUUCGCUUAUAAUAUAUUUUACAACUAUCGCACUCAAACUAUUUGAAGGUCCAAUACCAAGGAAAGUGAACAUUUUAAUUUCUUUUAAAAAGCACAGAAACUAUUUCAUUUUAUUGGAAAAUGAAAGUUGGUAUGUAGAAAUUCGAAAUAAAUCGCAGUAUAUGUACAAUUAUUUUUCUUUGAAGUAUGAAGAAAGUUAAAAAGACCUGGGGGGUCAUUCUGUCGAUUCAUUGAAAUUUCAACAUAAUACACAUACAUUUCUUUGAGUUCCAAAGACCUUCUGUAAAUUUUGACCUGCCAAUCUUCAUUAUUUAGUGUCUUGCAGAAGUCUAUGCACUGGCUAUGAAAAAAAUUGCCAACUCACUUUCCCUUAGUAAUGGACCUUUUAAGACAGAACAAAUAAAUGACGUAGUAUUUUAUAAUAUGAAAAUUAGUUCAUGUAGUCAGUAUUGUCGUAGUUUUAUACAAAUUAUCAGCUGUGCUAUCAUAGAAUGUAUUUAUUUCAAGCAUGUUUGAAAGCAGACCAGAGCUUUUAGAACUGUUUUCAAAGUUCAAGGGACAAAAUAUAAAUGAACUUCGACGUGCCGGAUUGCUCAGGAAACACGCAUUAAGAGUGAUGGCCACCAUAGACAAAGUUAUAACCCGCCUUGACGAGCCUUCCAGUUUAAUAGUCGUGCUCAGGGAAGUUGGAGCACACCAUAAGCUCUAUAAAGUAACGCCGAAUUACAUACAGAUAAUUUUGCCUCAUUUCCUCAAUGCAAUCAAACCUCAUAUAGAGGAGCAUUGGUGUGACGAUCUAGAGACAGCCUGGAAAACUAUGUUUGCAAUUAUAAUAUACCAUAUGAGUGAAAGUAUGACUCAGCCUGAACAUGGCCACAGACAAUUCAUUGCUGGUUCUUCAUCUUAAAUGGAUUUAUUGAAAUAUGUAAAUGAGUUGAUUGUGCAGUUUCAUACAUAGUUGUAAAAACAUAGUUUUACACAGGUAUUUACUAAUUAAAGAUGCAAAAUUACGGUACUAAAUUCGUGAAAUUGAACUUGAAAAUGUUAACUGAUUUUUAUUUAUCAUACAAAUGGUAACAUUUGCCAUUCUGUGUACAAAUGUCAAAACCCAUAUUCAGUAUUGUUUAAAAACAAAGAAAAUGAGUAAAGUGAAAGUUUAUAAUUAAUGAAAAUCGCGUAUGCGUAUUAUGUCAUUUUUGUGGCAUGUCAAAUGACGAAUUACAGGGUUGAUGGUAUAUGUAUUCUCGGUGAUUAUAAAGGACUCAAUAUGCACACUUUUCUUUAUCAGUAUUUGGUAGUAAUACGAUACUAAUCAAUCUGUUUCAAUUAAACAUACAACUAAGUCAUAUGAGUUAUCAUUUCAGCGUUAAAUACUCCAGACACCUUGAACCAGUUUCAGGUACAUGGCAACAAUCAGUUAUAUCUAUACAACUUAUUGACUUCUUGAACUAACCUUUCUAUUUGCUUAUUUUUAUUUUUAGUACAUUUACACGCUGUAUAAACAGAAAUAAAUCAUGAGUGAACAACAGGCAAACUAAUUCUGUAUAACCCAAAAUGUCCAUUAUAAAUAUGUUUUGAUUGAUGAAAGACGACGUUGUUUGUUUAGUUCUUUGUUGACUCUAUUUUUCUAUUUAGAUGUAUUUACAUAACUUUACGACGUCUUUCGACAGAAAUACUUCAUCUAAUGACAAAGUCCUUGCCAAACUUUGAAUAAACUAUAUCCAGCUUUAGUAAGAGCACAAUGAGAGAAGAUUAAAAAAAAACUCAUACAAUUGGUAUGCAAUACCACAAACUUCAAAUGACAAAGUUGGACAGAUGUAAACCAAAUGAUUGGCAGUUCCUAUUCUACUAAAUAUACAAUAAACAUACAUACAAAUGCAACGCCAAAAUCUUACUUUAUCUUCUGUCAUCGAAAGGAAGAUGUGUUCCUACAAAGCUUUGAUUUGCACAAUCGCCCCACCUCCUACGUUGAUAUCAAUCUAAAUCUAAAAUAACUACCUAUGCAAAUCUUGAGGUACGUUCAAUGGAAGAGAUUUUAUCAUUUUUGCCAGUGUUUUCAUAAACAGCACGAUAUGUGUUAUAUAUUAAAAGCCGAUUUAAUAGUUACACAUACUUAUGCCGCUUUAUUAAUUGCUUUUAUCUUAAUCUGAACCAAGCAUAUUUUACGACUUCUAGAGCAUUGUACAUCAUCUGAAUUAUGUGUGUUAGGUCUUAGCUGGGAAAUUUCGUCAAAGCAAUAUAACUACUUUAUAGAUAUAGAUUUCUUCUAUUUUAAUAUGUCACGAUCCCGUCUAUGUUGGGACAUACCUUAUACUUGCUGUUCAGCCCUUAUGCAGUUGGACACUUAACUUCCCUCCAGUCAGGUCAAUUAGACCUCUUUGAUAGUCAGUAUUUGCAGCUCUCUAAGACUGAUCUCCUUUAGUAUUUACCAUAUAAAGAUCUAGUUUAGUUGGACUUUUGACUGUGCUUCUCUUGUAACACUACAUUUGCAAAACCAUUUAGUGCCUAUAUUAUUCGUUAUCUUCUUUCAAAGUACACUACUGCAUGAUUUAGGAAUAUACCUGAUGGGAUUAAUUUCGCUGUCCCGUUUCUAUUUGUUUGAGACUGACUGUUACAAGGACUUUAUUUUCAUUUAUGUAUUUAUUUUGUUCUCGUUGUAUAUAUAUUUUAAAUUGUGUUUAUAAAGUCUGUGUGCAUGUCCGUUAUACAAAGAAGGACACUGGUUUAGGGUUUUUGUUAACGAUGGAUUGAUUCUUAUAACUUUGCUAUUCCUUUUCGAUCUGUAUCCUUGUUUUCAUAGAUUUUCUAAUUAACAGAUCCUUACUGCGUUGCUAUAGUUAACUUAACACAUUCCUAAAAUCGCAAGAAUAUAUGAAAAUGGGAAAGUUGAAGAUAAACGUUAUCAAGUAGGGAGAUAAUGCUUUUCUUGCUAUCGUUUGCUCGAUAAUUUACAGAUGGAAAUGUUAAAGACGUAAUAGCUUCAGAAAUAAUUAAUGAGAUAGCGGAAAGUAAUCAAAAUACUAUCGGCAGCGUAAAUUAAAGUCUAAAAUAAAGUUACUAAGUUAACACAAAAUGCUAAUAAAGCUUUCUUGCUUAUAGUAUAUAUAUAUGUAUAUUAAAACGUUCGACUGCUGAAGUGUAUAAUGUUAAACGAAAAUUCCAUGAAGUGUCUACAAAAGGUCCAAAUUUGAUCCAAAAAAAAAAACAAAAAAAUAAAACGAAUUAAAGGUUUUAUUAGUAGUACCCAUUUAGCAAUUUCUUGUAAACAGUUUAGUCUGUAUUCUCAAGUAGUCUAAAUUAUGAAUUAAAUAUACACAAAUUAAAUGCCUUGAGAAUGAUGCAAAAUGAAUUACAUUGUUUGAUAUACCCGGGCCUAACGAAGUUAUCAAAUAAUUGAUGAACAAAUAUUGUAAAACGACCCGAAAUGCUUAUCAUAUUAGAAUAUAUAAAUUGGCUCCUUAUCGUCAGAAUUACUUUUAUGUUACAUAAUGCUUCUCAGAAUGUGAAGUUAUAGUCAUACAAACGAGAGUUAUAAGUAUGUAUUUGCUCAUUUAAUACUUCUCAAUGGUUACAGAUAGAAUUAAACACAUAGAUUCUUUUGAGAAACUCUUGGUUUCAAACUACAAUGUGGAAAGGACCAUGUAUGAUAAGGGGUGUUUUGGGCCCCCAAUUCAAUUUUGUUUUUAAAUGCAUCAUUAGACUAUAAAAUAUGUCUUUUUUCUUUAUUUAGUUGCCAAAUAUCUAAAUAAAGUCAUUAUUUUUGGUAAAAUACUGAUUUAUAUAUACAUGCGUCCAAAUGUGUGAAUAUUUGCUUUAUAAGGGGGUAUGCUUUAAAAAAAGUGUCAUAUUGAAGUUGUUACUUAACUUAAAUUAGAAAUUUACUUGAUCAUUCAUUGCUAAUAUAGUGUGAAAUUUAUUUUGACAUUUAAUAUCC